AAGUCGUAACAAGGUUUCCGUAGGUGAACCUGCGGAAGGAUCAUUAAAAUUGCAAGCCGGCGAGAGUCGCGCACCGCAAACCAAUGUGAACUUUACCUGUUGCUUCGCCAGCACCUUUCUUUUGGGGGAAGCUCUUUCCCCAAAAGAAAGGGUAGGUCUGGUAGAGGCUCAACACAAACCAUUUCUGUAAAUUGCAGUCAGUUUUGAGAAAAAUAAUUAAA
rnacentral:misc_RNA from 1 species